CAGCAGCCGCGGUAAUACGUAGGGUGCAAGCGUUAAUCGGAAUUACUGGGCGUAAAGCGUGCGCAGGCGGUUUGUUAAGACAGAUGUGAAAUCCCCGGGCUCAACCUGGGAACUGCAUUUGUGACUGGCAAGCUAGAGUGUGGCAGAGGGGGGUGGAAUUCCGCGUGUAGCAGUGAAAUGCGUAGAUAUGCGGAGGAACACCGAUGGCGAAGGCAGCCCCCUGGGCCAACACUGACGCUCAUGCACGAAAGCGUGGGGAGCAAACAGGAUUAGAGACCCGUGUAGUCCCUGUCUCUUAUAC
rnacentral:rRNA from 1 species